rnacentral:rRNA from 1 species
UACGGGGGGGGCAAGCGUUGUUCGGAAUUACUGGGCGUAAAGGGCUCGUAGGUGGCCAACUAAGUCAGACGUGAAAUCCCUCGGCUUAACCGGGGAACUGCGUCUGAUACUGGAUGGCUUGAGUUUGGGAGAGGGACGCGGAAUUCCAGGUGUAGCGGUGAAAUUCGUAGAUAUUCGCAAGAACACCAGUGGCGAAGGCGGUUCUCUGGGACGGUACUGACGCUGAGACGCGAAAGCGUGGGGAGCGAACAGG